rnacentral:lncRNA from 10 species
CAUCACCUUAGCCAUAUCCUUACAAAGCCUUUCAUUAUUAGACAUAUUUGGAUUGGACUUAGAAGACUAUUUCAGUCAAUUCUGCUGACUUCGAGUCCUGGAAAUGGCAGAAUGGUGAAAAAUAAUUAAUAGAUGUUCCAGAUCUCCUGGUACUUACGCAAGCAUUCACGGACGUCUUCACUUCUGCCUUUGUUCUGGAUAUUUAGUGCCCCCAACUUUGCUAUGAAGACCAAGGCACUGUGGAAUUGUGUGUCUGCGUUUGGAAAGUCAGCUUGUGCCUAAAUGGAUUUUGAAGAUAUCAGGCAUUCUAGGAUUGAGACUGAGAAUUCCUUUUGUUACAACAGGCAAGAGUAAGAGCCAAUAAAUAAAAGAAUGCUACAUUUUAAUUUUCAAAGAUAUGAUUUUUUUACAUUUCAUAUCUCAAAUCAGGAUGUAUCUUGGAAUCAAUAGUAUGUUCCAUGUGAAUUGCCAGUGUUUAAAAAAAAUUGUUGAUGGUAAAUCAGAUAACAGUGCAUCUUGUAACUGAUGGCAUCUUUAGAUAAGAUGAAAUACGGUAUUUUGAUAGUGUGUAAUAUGUUUUAGGUUUGUAAUUUAUUAAUUCAUUUUACUUUUCUGUGGCUGGUGAUGUAGUUGCCUGGUGAUUUAUUUCCAUUUGAGCAUUCAGAGUUUGAAGGUGAACUCAUUAGCCAAGUAAGUGCAUAUCCAUCUCAGUCAGUGUAUGGUACUCACAGCAUCAAACAACUACAGCUUUCUUCCUAGACUAUCUAAUGUAUUUGUAAUUGUCAUUUUUUGGAAAAUUGUAUUUAACAUGUUUAGGCUAUAUUGCCACA